rnacentral:misc_RNA from 1 species
GAUAGCCUGCCUCUAGGGAUAAGGGGAAAGAGGGGAAGCAAUGAAUUGUGUCAACUACAAAUAGUUUGUCUCGAUAGAGUAAGAGUUUUAGAGUGAUACAUGCCCAAUUUUUUAUGAUGUCCCAUAAAAUUAUACCAUCUUUAGCAAAUGGAUAAUCUUCAAUUGUAAGUUUUAGGCCAUGUGGUGUGAAACAGUCUUAUCUUCAACA